rnacentral:rRNA from 1 species
UACGGAGGAUCCAAGCGUUAUCCGGAUUUAUUGGGUUUAAAGGGUGCGUAGGCGGUUUUAUAAGUUAGAGGUGAAAAUUCGGGGCUCAACUCCGGACGUGCCUCUAAUACUGUAUGACUAGAGAAUAGAUGCGGUAGGCGGAAUGUAUGGUGUAGCGGUGAAAUGCGUAGAGAUCAUACAGAACACCGAUUGCGAAGGCAGCUUACCAAACUAUAUCUGACGUUGAGGCACGAAAGCGUGGGGAGCAAACA